UACGUAGGGUGCAGGCGUUAAUCGGAAUUACUGGGCGUAAAGCGUGCGCAGGCGGCUCCUUAAGUCAGAUGUGAAAGCCCCGGGCUUAACCUGGGAACUGCGUUUGAGACUGAGGAGCUGGAGUGUGGAAGAGGGGGGUGGAAUUCCAGGUGUAGCAGUGAAAUGCGUAGAGAUCUGGAGGAACACCGAUGGCGAAGGCAGCCCCCUGGGCUAACACUGACGCUCAUGCACGAAAGCGUGGGGAGCAAACAGG
rnacentral:rRNA from 1 species